rnacentral:lncRNA from 1 species
ACUAUGAUGAGCAUGAAACUAGUGCCAAGAAAUUCAUUCAACGCGAUCGUUUUCAAACGACCUUCACUGCUUGUGAUUAUAAGAUUGUAACUAUUAGGUGAAACUCCCUCAUAAUCUAGCAUCAUAUUCAUGCAUGAAAACUAAGCGUGCACUCUCAAUCAACAUACACAAAUAAGUUAUCAAUCAAGUAGAUGAACGAAUUGAAUCCGCAACUUAUGAAAUAACAACUUAAUGUAAUCAAAUCAUAUUGCAAGCAUGUACAUGGUUUCGAAUCACCCCCAACUAAGGGGGUUUAGUUCCUCAUUCUUGCAAUACAAAGAUACAU